CGACCCCAGCGUCCCGUGCCUCCUUCUCUCCGCACUAAAACCCUAAAAUCUAACACAACGCAGAGUAUAUCAGCAGUGCCGAGGGGCUCGACCAGGCGGCAGACGCGCAGAGGGAGUGGGUUACAUACACACAAGUUAUACACAUACCUGUGGCAUGAUAUUGAGAUGAAAGCAUGACCAGGGGCCUGUUGCACAAAAGUAGAAUUAAGACAUCCGGGAUAAAUGACUCAGCUGAGCUCAAUGAAGCCAAAACAUGUGCGUCCAGGCUUAAUUGGUUGCACAAAGACCAAGCCAGGAUGAGCAGACACGGAUUCAUUAAGCCAGGUGAAACCAAUCCUGGAUAGGUGCGCGCUCACGGCUCACUCAAAUAGACCCCGCCACAGAUCACAGAUUAACUGAUUUACCAUGGCAACUAGAGCCGCGUACUUUUCCCCGUCGGAAGCACAAAUCAUCAUGGAGGCAUACGAGGAGGUAAAAGAUAUAAUUAAGAAGAAAGGCAACACCGCCACAGUGAUAAAGCAAAGAGAAAAAGCGUGGCAAAGUAUUGCAGACCGCCUGAAUGCAUUAAACAUGAACGGGCCAAAACGGACAUGGCAGCAGGUCAAAAUCAAAUACAAGAACAUUCUGCAGAAUGCAGUGAAAAAGAAUACCCACAGACAAGGCACGGGUGGUGGGUCACCAAAGGCUGACCUUACCCCAGCAGAGGACAUGGCCUUGGAGCUAAAUAAAGGCAGGCCCGUCUUAGAGGGGAUCCCUGGGGGGAAAGAGACGAGCAUAGGUUCCUCCCAAGAUGCCACCCGCUUCAUUCAAGUGUCUGGCAGCACUGUGUUCCUGUUAGAGCCACCAGCACAAGCACCAGACGAUGCUGAUCCAGGUGAAGGCCCCAGUGGAGCAGCAACAGCACAUGAUGGAGACGAUGAUGAGGAGGAGACCAUCUCUCUGGAUUCCAGAAGGCAUGAGGACCCAGAUGCUAUACAGUGGGAAAACCAGCCUGGCAACAUAAGCUCACAAGCUAUCAGAAAGUUGUAUGGCAACCACCUCCGGCGCCAAAUAGAACUGGCAGACAUAGACAUUCAGUACAAGAAGAAAAAGAUGGAAAAUCUUGCACUGGAGUCCGAAAUAAAAAAGAGGACAAUUAGGAAACUGGACCUUGAAAUAAAAAAACUUGAGAGGGAGGUGAGAUAUGCCUUCAAUGUACACUGUAUGCUAACUGUAACACAAAUGUAUUAAUCAUUAUUUUUCUUUCCUCCCCCAGCUCCAAGAAGAUGACACAGCUGAAAAUAAAAAUUAGCAAUCAGUACAACCAAGUCAUCGUUAUAAGGCAUCGCCCUCUUUUGCCCACCCCCCCAGCACCAGGUGUGGCCACUAGCCUAUAUGAAGGCCCAAAAUUGUGUGUUCCUUU